AUAGUCAACCAUCUGAACCACCCUAAUCAAUUGAAUACAAUCCAUUUUCUUAACACCUUCAUUUCCAUUCUUGUUCAACCAGAUGGUAAACCUAUCUCAUCACCUCAGAGUUCCAACUUCCAGGUGCAAACUUCCCUGCCAAAAGGCCGGACUCUAGAUGGCGUUGAAGACGACCGCAAGUUUCAGCCAUGAAGCGAAGCAGGCAGAGUCUCGGAACAGGAAAUCGCUGCAACAUCAAGAAGAGUCUGCCAGAAAAAACAGCAGAGACUACCUUAGAAGAUUGCCCAUAAAGAGAUAUGUUGCAAUCAGAAAUAUAACAUACACACCAAAUAACCAGUGGAAAGGAGUUAUAUUUCCAAAAAAAUUCUCUGAGAAGCACACAUGCCACAGCCAUGCUUACUGCUACAGAAUUCAUACUUUAUGCGUGAUUUUCGCAUAGUGAGAUUAGCUGUAGCACACAUGCAUGCAUAACUUCAGAAAGGCAAUGACAUUCCAUUACAGAAAGGGAGAAGGUGAAACAGGCGUCUCAGCAGUCUACCAUCUUACAGGUACCCAUAAAAAUUAAACAUUCAUCACUCACAAGCACCAUGAAAGACCUACUUAUCUUAACACUAUUUGAGGGGAGAGAGAGAGAGAGAGAAUAAGAACCAUUUGUUCAACUACACCCAAAAUUCAGUGACAGCUACACAUAAGUAAAACAAGAGGCACGAUACAUAGUUACACAUAAUUAAAUAUGAUGCAUCAAAGAAACUACAAUUUUUCAAGAAGACUCUCUAUUGUGUUCAUUUGUUUCAAUUAUUUGCUCUUCUGGGCUAAAAGACGUAUAAGACCAUUAUGCCGAUUGAACUUCGUCCACAGUCUCCUCUUGUCUUAGAGCUUCUAAUGUCCGAUGUCUAUCAUUUAGAACCAAACACAGUAUAAUUCGAUUCAACCAGUAAACUUAUGUGAAGGCAACUAAAUUCCAAUUUGUGCUUUUGUAAGAGUUUCUUUUUACACGCCACAUUGCAACUUUGCAAGGCUAGAUGUUUCAUAUGUCAGACAAUGCAGCAGACAACCAAAUGCAGAGCGAUUACCUUCCGCCAUAUAGAAGAAACCCAACGGCUGCAAAUAAGGACACACCUGCAGGAACAUAUGUCUUAGAAUAACAGAUCAUUGAGAUAAACAAACAAUCUUCAAAACUAUAUGUGAUUAGAAAAUAAAUACCUGCAAAGAACAUCUUAGAUAAGAUGAGCAGAA